UGAGGAAUAUUGGACAAUGGGCGCAAGCCUGGUCCAGCCAUGCCGCGUGCAGGAAGAAGCAUCUAUGGUGUGUAAACUGCUUUUGUACGGGAAGAAACACUCCUACGUGUAGGAGCUUGACGGUACCGUAAGAAUAAGGAUCGGCUAACUCCGUGCCAGCAGCCGCGGUAAUACGGAGGAUCCAAGCGUUAUCCGGAAUCAUUGGGUUUAAAGGGUCCGUAGGCGGUUUAAUAAGUCAGUGGUGAAAGCCCAUCGCUCAACGAUGGAACGGCCAUUGAUACUGCUAGACUUGAAUUAUUAGGAAGUAACUAGAAUAUGUAGUGUAGCGGUGAAAUGCUUAGAUAUUACACGGAAUACCAAUUGCGAAGGCAGGCUACUACUUGUGGAUUGACGCUGAUGGACGAAAGCGUGGGGAGCGAACA
rnacentral:rRNA from 1 species